rnacentral:rRNA from 1 species
UACGUAGGGGGCGAGCGUUGUCCGGAGUUACUGGGCGUAAAGCGCACGCAGGCGGUCUGCUAAGUUUGGAGUGACAGUUGGUGGCUUAACUGCCAAAGUGCUUCGAAAACUGACAGACUUGAGGGCUUCAGAGGGACACGGAAUUCCGGGUGGAGUGGUGAAAUGCGUAGAUAUCAGGAGGAACAUCUGUGGCGAAAGCGGCUCACUGGACCAUAACUGACGCUGAUGCACGAAAGCUAGGGGAGCAAACAGG